rnacentral:misc_RNA from 1 species
UCUUGCUCACUUGGGUCACUUGAUGGAGUACACCAUUCAUUUUAGCAGUCUGUUCAGGCACUAGUUGAUCAGUUCCUUAUGGCUGAUGCUAAUUGUUAUGGGGAUCGAGUUUUAUAGAGUGUAGUCUUCCUUUUCUGCUUAAUCUUGUUGCUUUUGAAUGGUUUGUAGAAUUUCUGCUUUUCUGGUUUCGGCUUCUUGUUGUAUCUUUGUUCUGGUCCUGUUCUGCGGGUUGUCUUGGCCUGAUGAUCAGAUUUCGCUGCAGAUUUCACUGCUCUUGGUUGGAUCUCCAAAAUUUUGCUUCCCUUUGCAGCAUAAUUUUCGUUCUGUUUUUUUGUGUAUAUUUGUUUACGGGGAAUUG